ensembl:lincRNA
AUGUGUAUAAGAGACAGACCUACAUCUGAGACCACCCACCCUACUUUUCCCACUAGCACUGUCCCAGACUCCACGACCAAAAUCACCUUUUCCACAACUACAACAGGUAUAUUGUCCACCACCAUUACUCUCCCACCCACCUCUUCCUUUCUCCGGACCACAGAAACAGCCACGACUCCUACAACAAACUUGUUCACCACCACCACUGAGAUCACAUCCCACAGUACUUCUAGCUUUACUUCUUCAAUCACCAGCACUGAGACCACAUCACCCAGUAGUCCCAGUUUCACCUCUUCAAUCCCCACCACCAAGACCACUUCACCCAGUACUCCCAAUUUCACCUCUUCAGUCAUCAGCACUGAGAUCACCUCACACAGUACUCCCAGCUUCACUUCUUCAGUCUUCACCACAGAGACCACCUCACACAGUACUCCCAAUUUCACCUCUUCAAUCACCAGCACUGAGACUACCUCACACAGUACUCCCAGUGUCACCUCUUCAAUCCCCACCACUGAGACCACAGAGACCACAGAGACCACCUCACACAGUAUUCCCAGCUUCACCUCUUCAAUCACCAGCACUGAGACGAUCUCACACAGUACUUCCAGCGUCACUUCUUCAAUCCCCACCACCGAGAUCACCUCACAUAUUACUCCCAGCUUCACCUCUUCAAUUCCCACCAUCAAAACCACCUCACACAGCACUCCCAGUUUCACUUCUUCAAUCACCACCACUGAAAUCACACCUCACAGUACUCCCAGCUUCACUUCUUCUUCUACCACCACAAAAACCCCUUUACACAGUACUCCCAGUUUCACUUCUUCAAUGACAACCACAGAGAGCACCUCCAAUAGUAAUCCUAGCUUCACUUCUUCAAUCGUCACCGACAACACCACCUCACACAAUACUCCCAGCUUCUCUUCUUCAACCACAACCACAGAGACCACCUCACACAGUACUGUAAGCUUCACCUCUUCAACCACAGCCACCAAGACCACCUCACACAGUACUGUAAGCUUCACCUCUUCAACCACAGCCACCAAGACCACCUCACACAGCAUACCCAGCUUCACUUCUUCAACCACCACUACCAAGACCACCUCACAGAGUACUCCCAGCUUCACAUCUUCAGUUACCACCACCGAGACCACUUUACACAGUACUCCCAGCUUUACUUCUUCAACCAAAAUCACUGAGACCACAUCACACAGUACUUCCAGCUUCACCUCUUUAAUCACCAACACUGAAACUACCUCACACAGUACUGCCAGCUUCACUUCUUCAUCCACCACUGCAAAGACUACCUCAAACUAUACUUCCAAUUUCACUUCUUCAAUCACUACCACUGAGACCACAUCACACACUACUCCCAGCUUCACUUCUUCAAUCAUCAUCACCAACACUCCCUCACACAAUACUCCCAGUUUUUCUUCUUCAACCACCACCACCCAGACCACCUCAGACAGUACUCCAAGCUUCACUUCUAUAGCCACCACCAACACCAACACAACCUCACAUAGAACUCCCAAUUUCACUUCUUCAAUUGUCACAACCAAGACCACCUCACACAGUACACCCAGUUUCACUUCUUCAAACACCACGACCACCAACACCACCUCAUACAGUACUCCCAGCUUCACUUCUUCAAUCACCACCAAGACCAUGUCACACAGUAUUCACAACUUCACUUCUUCAACCACCACCACCACCAAGGCCACCUCAGACAGUACUACCAGGUUCACUACUUCAAUCACCGCCACCAAUACCACCUCACACAGUACUCCUGGCUUCUCUUUAUCAACCACAACCACAGAGACCACCUCACACAGUACAUCCAGCUUAUCCUCUUCAACCACCACUACCAAAACCACCUCAUACAGUACUGCCAGCUUCAGUUCUUCAUUCACCACCAAUGAGGCCAUCUCACAUAGUACUCCUAACUUCCCCUCUUCAAUCACCACAACUGAGACCACCUCCCACAGUACUCCCAGGUUUACUUCUUCAAUCACCACAACCAAUAACACAUCACAGAGUACUCCCAGAUACACUUCUUCAAUCAUUACCACUGAAACUACCACACAUCGUAUUCCCAGCUUCAUCUCUUCAACCACAACUACCAAGACAACCUCAUAUAGUACACCUAGCUUCACUUCUUCAACCACCACUAUUGAGACUACCUCACACAGUACUCCCAGUGUCACCACUUCAAUAAUCACCACUGAGACCACCUCACACAGUACACCCAGCUUCCCUUCUUUAACCAGAACCACAGAGACCACCUCACACAGUACUUCAAGCUUCACUUCCUCAACGACCACUGAGAUCACCUCACACAGUACUCCCAACAUCACCUCUUUAAUCACAACUACCAUGACCACCUCACAUGGUACACCCUCCUUGACUUUUUCAACCAUGACCACUGAAACCACCUCACAGAGUACUCCCAGUUUCACACCUUCAAUAGCCACCACUGAGACUACCUCACACAGUAUUCUCAGUUUGACUUCUUUAACCAGCACAACCAAGACCACCCCACACAGUAUUCCCAGCUUUAUGUCUUCAACCACCACUGCUGAGAUCACAUCACACAGUACUCCCAGCUUCACCUCUUCUAUAACCAACACCAAAACUACCUCACUCAGUACUCCCAACUUCACUUCUUCAUCCACCACCACAAAGACCAGCACACACAGUACUUCCAACUUCACUUCUUCAAUCACCACCACCGAGACCACGACACACAGUACUCCCAGCUUCACUUCAUUAAUCACCACUACAAACAACACCUCACACAUUACUCCUUGGUUCAGUUCUCCAACCACCACCACCACGACCAAGAACUCCUCACUCAGUACUCUCAGCUUCACUUCUUUAACUACCACCACCAAGCCCACCUCACAUAGUACUCCCAGCUUCACUUCUUCAAUUGCCACCACUAAGACUACCUCACAUAGUACUCCCAGCUUCACUUCUUCAACCGCCACCACCAAGACUACCUCACACAGUACUCCCAGCUUCACCUCUUUAACCACCACCACUACCAAGGAAACCUUGCACAGUACCCCCAGCUUUCUUUCUUCAACCACGACCACCACCAAGACCAUCUCAGACAGUACUCCAAGCUUCAUUUCUUUAACAACUACCAUAAAGACUACCUCACACAGUACUCCCAGCUUCACUUCUUCAAUCACUACCAAGACCACCUUGCACAGUACUCACAGCUUCACUUCUUCAACCGCUAGCACCAAGACCACAUCAGACAGUACUCCCAGGUUCACUACUUCAGUCACCGCAACCAAUACCACCUCACACAGUACUCCCAGCUUCUCUUCAUCAACCACAAACACAGAGACCACCUCACACAAUACUCCCAGCUUAACCUCUUCAACCACAACCACUGACACCACCUCACACAGUACACCCAGUUUCACUUCUUCAACCACCACUACCAAAACCACCUCAGACAGUACUGCCAGCUUCAGUUCUUCAACCACCACCAAUGAGGCCACCUCACAUAGUACAUUCAGCUUCACUUCUUCAAUUGCCACUACCAAGACCACCUCACACAGUACUCCCAGCUUCACCUCUUUAACCAACAGCACGAAGACCACCUUACACAUUACUUCCAGCUUCACUUCUUCAAGCACCACAAUGAAGACCACCUCAGACAGUACUCCAAGCUUCACUUCCUCAAGCAGCACCACCAGGACCACCUCACACAGUACUCUCAGCUUUCCUUCUUUAACCACAACCGCAGAGACCAGGACACAAAGUACUUCAAGCUUCACUUCUUCAACCACCACCACUGAGACCACCUCACAUAGUACUCCCAAGUUCACCUCUUCAACCACAACCACCAAGACCACCUCACACAGUACUCCCAGCUUCACUUUUUCAACUAACACAUCUGAGACCACCUCACAGAAUACUCCCAGUGUCACACCUUCAAUAACCUCCAGUGAGACCACCUCACACAGUACUCUGAGCUUCACUUCUUCAACCACCACUCCCGACACCACCUCACAUAGUACUCCCAGCUUCACUUCUGCAAUCGCCACCACUAAGACCACCUCACAUAGUAGUCCCAGCUUCACUUCUUCAACUGACACCACCAAGACCACCUCACACAGUACUCCCAGCUUCACUUCUGCAAUCACCACCAAGACCACCCCACACAGUACUCACAGCUUCUCUUCAUCACCCACAACCACAGAGACCAUCUCACACAGUACUCCCAGCUUAACCUCUUCAACCACAACCACCGAGACCACCUCCCACAGUACUCACAGCUUCACUUCUUCAACCGCUAGCACCAAGACCACAUCAGACAGUACUCCCAGGUUCACUACUUCAGUCACCGCCACCAACACCACCUCACACAGUACUCCCAGCUUCUCUUCAUCAACCACAACCACAGAGACCACCUCACACAGUACUCCCAGUUUAACCUCUUCAUCCACAACCACCGAGACCACCUCCCACAGUACUCACAGCUUCACUUCUUCAAACACUAGCACCAAGACCACAUCAGACAGUACUCCCAGGUUCACUACUUCAACCAUCCCCAAUGAGACCACCUCGCAUAGUGUUCCCAGCUUCACUUCUUCAGCCACCACCACCACAACCUCAAAGAGUACUCCCGGCUUCACCUCUUUAACCACCAUCAUCAAGACCACCUUACACAGUACUUCCAGCUUCACUUCCUCAACUACCACCAUGAAGACCACCUCAGACAGUACUCCCAGCUUCACGCCUUCAACUGCGACCACCAAGACCACCUCACACAGUACACCCAGCUACACAUGUUCAACCACCACCAGUGAGACUACCUCACACAAUACUCCCAGCUUCACCUUUUCAAUCAGCACCUCUGAGACCACCUCCCACAGUACUCCCAGUUUUACUUCUUCCACCACCACCACCGAGACCACAUCAGAGAAUAUUCCCAGCUUCACCUCUUCAAUCAACACCACUGAAACCACCUCACAUAGUACUUCCAACUUUAUCUCUUCAACCACGACUACCAAGGCGACCUCACAUAGUACACCCAGCUUCACUUCUUCAACCACCACUCCCGAAAGUACCUCACACAGUAUUCCCGGCAUCACCUCUUCAAUCACCACCCCCCACACCAGCUCAAACAGUACUCCUAGCUUCUCUUCUUUAGCCACAAACACAGAGACCACCUCACACAAUACUGCCAGCUUCACUUCUUCAACCACCACCACCAAGACCACCUCACACAGUAAUCCCAGCUUCACUUCUUCAGUCACAACCAAGACCACCUCACAUAGUAUUCACAACUUCACUUCUUCAACCACCACCACCACCAAGACCACCUUACACAGUACAUCCAGCUUCACUUCUUCAACCACCACUCCCGACACCACCUCACAGUGUACUGCCAGCUUCAGUUCUUCAACCACCAUCAAUGAGAGCAUCUCACAUAGUACUCCCAGCUUUACCUCUUCAACCACAACCACCAAGACCACCUCACACAGUACACCCAGCUUCACUUCUUCAACUGCUACUAUCGAGAUCAACUCACACAGUACUCUCCGUUUCACUUCUUCAACUCUCCACUCCAAAGUCAGCACAUCCAGAAGUGCCAUCACCUCAUCUCCCACUGCGUUUGAGACUGGGGUGACUUCCACAGCUGUAAGCGCACCUAGUCAGAGAUCAGAUUACCUGAUCAGAAGGCUAAUACCUUUCACCCCCUCAUCUGUGGACACCAGCACUUCAUUGACUACACAGUACUCCCAGCUCCCCUCUACACCCACUGAUGUCACUACCCCACCAUCCCCAACACAAAUUAUUUGGUCUUCUCCCUCCAUCCAUAAUAAAGAAACCUCAUCCCUUGUGGGCACAAUCUCUCCCAUCAUUUCCACUGUGAGAACCACCCUCAGAAUUACUGAAAACACCCCGAUCAGUUUCCUUAGUACAAGUUUUCUGGUUACACCUGAAACCCCAACGCGUACCCCUCCUGUACUGACCUCUGCCACCGGGACACAAACGUCUUCUGUACAUACUACUCUCACGUUUGGAAGCACAGAUUCCUCCACGUCCACUCUCGAGACUGUUACUCCAUCAACAACCUUGAGCACGAUCAUGUCAACAUCAGAGGUGCCUGUUACUAGCACACAUUCAUCCACCCUGAAAACAACUCCUGCAACCCUCUCAGUGCAAACUUCACUCACGUCUCCGAGUGAGUCUACUACGGAAUCUUUCACUAGGGGAAGUACAUCUACGAAUGCAAUCUUGACUCCUUUUAGUACCAUCAUCUGGUCCUCAACACCCACUACCAUAAUGUCCUCUUCUCCGUCUUCCGCCAGCAUAACUCCAGCGUUCUCCACUACCACUCACUCUGCCCCUUCUUCACCACACAUUUUCAGCACAGAAAAUGUGAGUUCCUCUUCUAUCACAGCCUUUCCUACUCUCUCUUCCUCUGCAACUACCAGCACAUCUCCAACCAGCUCCUCUCUGACCACAACUCUCACCAAAAUAACCCCCUUUUCUUAUAUUUCUCUUCCCUCCACCACACCCUGUCCAGAAACUGUAACAAUUACAAUAGUCCCUGCCUCUCCCACUGAUCCGUGUGUUGAAAUGGAUCCCAGCACUCAAGCUACUUCCACCACCACCCCAUUUACCGUCUUUCCCUUUACCACCGAAAUGGUCACCAGUCCCAGCUCCAUCAGUCUGCGAACUGCCCUUCCUACAUAUAUGGACACGUCUUCCGUGACUCCAGGAAGUUUGCCCAGCAUCACAACCAAUGCUUCCAGUUCCACUGGCACUGGGACUGUACCCACGAACACAGUUUUCACAAGUACUCAAAUGCCGACCAGUGAGACCUGGCUGAGCACCAGCUCCACGAUCCCCCCACCUCUUCCUGGAGUCUCUACCAUCCCACUCACCACGAAACCAAGCAGUAGCCUUCCGACUGUCCUGAGGACUUCAAGCGAGUCAACACACUCCUCCCCACGCACCACCAGGACUUCAGAGACACCAGUGGCCACUACCCAGACUCCUACCACCCUUACGUCGCGCAGGACAACUCCCGUCACUUCCCAGAUGCCCACACAGUCGAGGUUGACCACCACUGCAGGCACCUGUGACAAUGGUGGCACCUGGGAACAGGGCCAGUGUGUUUGCCGUCCGGAGUUCUCUGGGGACCGCUGUCAGCUCCAGAUCCCAUGCCAGAAUGGGGGUCGUUGGGAUGGCCUCAAGUGCCAGUGUCCCAGCACCUUCUAUGGUUCCCGUUGUGAGUUUGCUGUGGAACAGGUGGAUGUAGACUCAGUGGAGACCGAGGUGGCCAUGGAAGUGUCUGUCGACCAGGAGUUCUCCUCUGACCUCAACGACAACGCUUCCCAGGCCUACAGGGAUUUCAACAACACCUUCUGGAAUCAGAUGCAGAAGAUUUAUGCAGAUGUGCAGGGCUUCACCUUCAAGGGUGUGGAGAUCCUGUCCCUGAGGAAUGGCAGCAUCAUGGUGGACUACCUGGUUCUGCUGGAGAUGCCCUUCAGCCCCCAACUGGAGACUGAGUACGAAAAAGUGAAGACGGCAUUGAAGGAGGGGCUGCAGAACGCCAGCCAGAAUGUAGACAGCUGCCAGGACUCCCAGACCCUGUGCUUUAAGCCUGACUCCAUCAAGGUGAACAACGACAGCAGGACAGAGCUGACUCCGAAAGCCAUCUGCAGCCGCGCCGCUCCCGAAGGCUAUGAGGAGUUCUACUUUCCCUUGGUGGAGGCGACCCGGCUCCGCUGCGUCACCAAAUGUACGUCGGGCGUGGACGACGCCAUCGACUGUCACCAGGGCCAGUGCAUUCUGGAGAGGAGCGGUCCUGCUUGUCGCUGCUUCUCCACGGACACGCACUGGUUCUCUGGCCCACGCUGCGAGGUGGCCGUCCACUGGAGGGCGCUGGUCGGGGGCCUGGCGGCGGGCGCCGCCCUGCUGCUGCUGCUGCUGCUGGCGCUGGGCGUCCGGGCGGUGCGCUCCCGAGGAGGGGGCGGCCAGCGCCGAGGCCGGUGAGCGCGCGGGGGGCAGGGCAGGGGGGCGAGGGUGGCCAAGGGGCCCAGGCAGGCCGGCCCUGCCUGACCGCUCGCCAACCCACCUAGGUCCUGGGACCAGGACAGGAAAUGGUUCGAGAUGUGGGAUGAGGAAGUCGUGGGCACUUUUUCAAACUUGGGCUUCGAGGAGGACGACAGAACAGGUGAGUCCUGCCUCCCGGGGGAAGCGGGCAGGGGCUUUCCUGGGCACCACUGCGAGGACAGAUGCCCUCCCUGUAUUCCUCCAAUCUCCUCCUUCUCCUUCUCUCUUCAGUUUCCUUCCUCUUCCCUUCUUUCUCUCUCUCUCUAGACAAGGAUAAAAAUUUCCAUGUGGAUUUGGAGAAGGUGGACACCACUGUGAAGGUGAGGGGCUAAAGCGGGGGACCCAAGGAACUCUCCCAGCCUCCAUUCCAGAUUCCCUCCCCAAGCCCCACCAGGGCAGGGAGGGGGCUGGGCUCGCAUCAGCAGUGACCUCCCUGUCAGCCCAAACAAGUGGCUCCCUAUUCCCGUGCCUCAUUGUGACUCUGUGACAGGUGCACGUUGAGAGGCCAGAGAUGAUCUCCUCAGUGUGAGCCCUGCGGUGCCCCCUCACCACCCACUCCGCCCUGCCCAGGACACAGGGUCUGCACUGCGUCCAUUUCAAGAGGCGGCCCCAGGACCAGUGCAGCCCAGGCUCCUGCUGUUCUUGGGCACAAUGAGACUGUUCCCCCAAAUCACAUCCCUCUCUUUCCAGCCUGGCUGAAAUACACCUGGAAACCCAGUUCACAUCUAGGCUCUUCCACUGUGGAACCUUGGGCAAUUCAGUAACGAGCCUUAGUUUCCUCACUUGAAAAAUGG